CUUUCAGUCUUUAUCUAUGGUUCCGAAUUGAGGCGGAGUCACGCAAGUUCAUAUUCACAGUUCAUAUCAUAGAGUAGGGCUGCAACUGGCUGACCGGCGACUGACGGCACUAAAAUUUCGAGUUUUCGGCCAAGAAGUUCUGAGCAUGUGCAAAACGUGGAGGACAUAGUGAAAAUAAAAUAAGGGUCGGUUACGUCAGUUUUGUCCUUUUUUAACUUUCAGAACAACGCGGCUGGAUAUUAUGCUUGAAUUGCUAAGUUGACUUUGUUAAAUGAAAUUAACCUAUGAAUUCAAUUUAACCUUAUUUUAACCACGUUUCCCAUUGAUCGGACGAGUUAAAAUAAUUUCAUAUUUCUAAUACCUGUCAUAGAGAAAGUAAAAUAAGAGAGGUGGCGGUAUAAUGUUAAAACUUGGAACCGUGUUGCGCUACAACCGGCUGACCGUCAGUAACGGGAAGCUUUGACGGUAAAAACAGGUAUCUAGAUUAUCGGCUAGUUAGAAGCGGGAAUUUUAAAUUUUUAAAGGUACAAAAUACUUCGGGUACACAAAAUUCGGUGUCUACACAUGUUCUCUCGGUUAUUAAUGGUAAUAGAAAAUGUGCUGUUUACUCAACAGGGUGCAAACAAAUUCCUAUUUCCAUUCAUAAUGAACCGAGACUACAAUGUGUAAGGACAUCGAAAUUGUAACACUCAGAACACAAUUUUGAUCCACAUUUAAGGGGAUCCAUGACAGGGAAUGAAAUAAUAUAUACCUAGAUCAAAAUAAAAUAACAUUUAUUAAGUAAAAAAACAAAUUGUCUUCCAAAGAGUCCCAAAAGGAUGAACUGGGUAACUAAACUUGUGCCCUAUAGGAGUAGGAAUCCCCACCAGAAGUCUACUACUCAUGUGCUGCAGGAUUCUAUUCCAUGCAGAACUAUUAAAUAACAACAAAUUUGGCCAGGCAAAGUCCUAUUUCUAAGCCGUUCUUUUAGAAGAAAGAGCCAUUAUUUCAAAGCAUUUUCUGCGACGAUUAAUAUCUUUAUUUGGAUCAGAGAAUUCGAAUAACCGUUUUUUUGCGUAGUUUUCAAGAUUACCCUCUUUA